rnacentral:rRNA from 1 species
GACGAACGCUGGCGGCGUGCUUAACACAUGCAAGUCGAACGAUGACGACCGAGCUUGCUCGGUCUGAUUAGUGGCGAACGGGUGAGUAACACGUUAGCAACCUGCCCUUCACUCUGGGAUAACCUCGGGAAAUCGGGGCUAAUACCGGAUAUGAGCUCCUGUCGCAUGGCGGGUGUUGGAAAGUUUUUCGGUGUAGGAUGGGCUCGCGGCCUAUCAGUUUGUUGGUGAGGUAGUGGCUCACCAAGGCGAUGACGGGUAGCCGGCCUGAGAGGGCGACCGGCCAAACUGGGACUGAGAAACGGCCCAGACUCCUACGGGAGGCAGCAGUGGGGAAUAUUGCACAAUGGGCGAAAGCCUGAUGCAGCGACGCCGCGUGAGGGAUGACGGCCUUCGGGUUGUAAACCUCUUUCAGCAGGGAAGAAGCGAAAGUGACGGUAACUGCAGAAGAAGCGCCGGCUAACUACGUG